GCGAUCUCGAGGAAUACGAGAGGGGCCGUUUAGAGUAGAAGGAGUCCGAAGACCCAGGCGACGCCCGUUGUUCCACGAAAGGAGCGGGGGCUGGCUUACGGCGGACCCCGCAUCCACCGGAUUGCCGGGAUUUUAUUUUUAAGUGAUCUCUACAUCCAAAGUGGGGCUCGAACUUACAACCCCUAGAUCAAGAGUUGCAUGCUCCAUGGACUGAGUCAGCCAGGUGCCUCUGGUAAUGAUAAUUUUAAAGCGAAGAUGUAAAGAAUACAAAAGAAGUCAAGGGAAGAUGGAAUAAGAAAACUGAAAAUGAUGGAAAUGUAAAAUAGAGAAAAUUAAGUGGAAGUAGAGAAAAAAUUUCCUUCUGAGAAGAGCUCAUUGGGAAACAAGAAUGAAAAAGAUACAGUGUUUGCCCUUACGGAGUCUACAUUAUAAUAUGGAGACAAAACAUUUACUCAUAAUGAGGGCGGUUCGUGUCUCUAGUUCUAUUCUUGGAUGUGAAGAGCUGGAAAUUUGGGUGUGCACUGCCUUGUCAAGCCAGAAGGCGCAUGAAUUGGAACAGGGCUGUAACAACAACUUUGACCGUGCUCUGACUUUUGACUGAAGAGAUAUUGGGCCUGUUCCCAGAUUUUAGGCCUGGAAUAUCCUCGCACUGCAAAGUAAAGCCAGAGUGUGACGCUGCUUCUCUCUCACCGCACCUGUGAAAUCCUCUUCCUUCCACAUUAUUGGCUUACAAAUCUGUCUCUGUCCCAGAUUAUAAACUGUUGGUGGACAAACAAUGGUUGCUUCUCCAUCUUCAUAUUCCCAGAGUGGGGCACAAAAUACUUGACUUUCUUGCCUCUGUUGCACUUGGAAAGAAGUGUCCCUGUGACUAGUUUUGGCCAAAAACAGAUAGAGGAAGUGUGCCGAGGCACUUCUGAAUUUCAGUGUUUACACACCUGUCCAGAAGCCCAGACACUGAGCAGUGUGAGUUUCUCUUCAUUUACCCUCUCUACAACACCGCUGCAUUUCAAGUCACAUCUCCUAAAUGCAUGCCAGAACUUCCAAGUUUGCAACGUUCCUGGUUGACAGUGACUACUUGGAUUGCAGCAGUAAAGCCACGAUGGACCAGAAAAUCCUGUUGCAUUCCACAUUUAGCAUGUGGUGCUCAUUCUGAGUUUUACACAUUUGAGGUGGAGGGGGGUGCCGCCUGCAUGUGCAGGGGGGAAGUAGGAGAAACACAUCACAAAGGGCUUUGCCAAGAUCCUCCAAGAAAGGUGCCUUUGGGAGGUGAUGAGGAAUAGGAUUAGUGCCUUUACAAGAAGAGAGGAGCGAAAGCAUGCUUCCUCCCUGCCCUCUGCCACGUGAGCGCACAGCAAGAAGACAGCCAUCUGCAAACCAGGAAGCAGGCCCUCACCAGACACUGCAUCCCCCAGUGCCUUGAUCUGGGACUUCCAGCCUCCGGAAUCGGAAUCGUGAGAAAGGAAGAGUCAACUGUCCCAAAAGAGACUGCUUUUCUAAUGACAGAAGCACUUUCUAAUGACUUCUAAUGAUAGAAGCAUCUUCAAGCAUUUGGGACAUAGGCGUACUGCUCUGUUGGUAAAACCGUGCCUGAAAUUGUGUCAGAAAAUGCCGACACAUUUGUCGCUCAGUGGGAUUCUACUGGAAAGGUAAAUGCAAUCCCAAGACUGUCUAGUUUAAGAAGAAGGAACAUACUAAGCAUUAUCCACAAUGGACAGAAAAUGGACACAAGGAAGGUGGGGAAGAAGGUGGAGAAGAAAGGGAUGGGAGGAAGGGAAGGAAGGCCUCCCAGAAGGAAGGCCACAGAGAAUAAGAGCGGCUUGUAGAGGUGAGUGGCCAAAUCCACGGAAUGGCGAGCUAAGCAGAGCAGGAGAGAAAGCCAAACGUGGAGUCUCCAGUUCCACCAACUGGCUUUGAGACUUCAGGCAAGCCCCACUCACUCUGCCUGCCCCUCGGUUUCCCUACUUGUCAAGGAGGCAUGAGAACAACCCCCCUUCCCCCAGGACUGGGAGGACAACAGGACAAAUAGCAUAAGAAUGCUUUGGGCUGUAAAGAGCAGGGACAAAGCGACACCCAGUCUUACUGGUGAAGGGAUUUGGCCUCUCCUGGUGCUGUCUGUUGUUCCAAUCCCCUUCACCAGUAAGUAUGCAUAGCUUUCUCACUGGGCCCUUGAACAGUAGGAAACUAACAUAAGACUCUUCAAAGUUUGCCAAACAGCAUGGCCUGAAAUGUAUCUCUAGCAAUUAUCAGGGGGUAGAUAGCCUUAAAAGGUCUUAUGAUGUAUUUCCCUCUUGUGAUAAAACUCUAAUUCAUUCUAUGUUGCAUAUUCAAGGACAAAAUGGAGCUUGGCCGGCCCCACGCUUGUUUAAGGGACAGCGAUGUUCCUGAGAUUAGUUACAUUCACCUUUCGUCGGGAUGAGCUGAGGCAGAAGCCAGCCGCCUGGCGCUGCUCACCGCCUAGUUCGGGUAAGACUGCACAAAAUGUUUUCUGGAUUCAGCCCAUUCCGUGAAACCCUAUAGGUCUUUGAUUGCUAUAGAUGAAACCAGUUAGGUUGAAAGAUGUUUAUGUACAUUUAUGAUUAUUUUUUGGAAGUCGGGGGCAUUGGCGAUGCUGUAGGUGUAAUUCAUGAGUCAGACAGGAAGGGUAUUUAAGAUUGAACUUUUUAAAAAACCUUUAUUGGCAUUUAUUUCAUGCUGAAAUUACUCCUGGGUCAUAAGUUUUUGUUAUUCCAGUUUUUUCUGGGAUAUCUUUUUCUUCAGCGCAACAGUCUAUCUGCUCUUUUUCAGUAAGGAUCAUCUCAGUGUGGCCGGAGGACUUCAUACAGGGGUUAA